rnacentral:misc_RNA from 1 species
AACGGUCUAUACCUGCGGUACCUGCGGAAGGAUCAUUACAAAUCAGCACGCCGCCCGCAGCGACCCGUCUGUCGGCCAGCAGCAGGGAGAGGGGAGGGCGAGGUGGUGGAGCACAUUGACGCAUGUAGAGUUGGACAGAGUGAGGGUGAGGGAGGAGAGACAACUUUUAACAAUGGAUCUCU